rnacentral:rRNA from 1 species
AGUGAACGCUGGCGGUAGGCCUAACACAUGCAAGUCGAACGGCAGCACAGUAAGAGCUUGCUCUUACGGGUGGCGAGUGGCGGACGGGUGAGGAAUACAUCGGAAUCUACUUUUUCGUGGGGGAUAACGUAGGGAAACUUACGCUAAUACCGCAUACGACCUACGGGUGAAAGCAGGGGAUCUUCGGACCUUGCGCGAUUGAAUGAGCCGAUGUCGGAUUAGCUAGUUGGCGGGGUAAAGGCCCACCAAGGCGGCGAUCCGUAGCUGGUCUGAGAGGAUGAUCAGCCACACUGGAACUGAGACACGGUCCAGACUCCUACGGGAGGCAGCAGUGGGGAAUAUUGGACAAUGGGCGCAAGCCUGAUCCAGCCAUACCGCGUGGGUGAAGAAGGCCUUCGGGUUGUAAAGCCCUUUUGUUGGGAAAGAAAAGCAGCAGGUUAAGACCCCGCUGUUCUGACGGUACCCAAAGAAUAAGCACCGGCUAACUUCGU